rnacentral:rRNA from 1 species
CAGCAGCCGCGGGAACACAGAGGGUGCGAGCGUUAAUCGGAUUUACUGGGCGUAAAGCGUGCGUAGGCGGCUUUUUAAGUCGGAUGUGAAAUCCCUGAGCUUAACUUAGGAAUUGCAUUCGAUACUGGGAAGCUAGAGUAUGGGAGAGGAUGGUAGAAUUCCAGGUGUAGCGGUGAAAUGCGUAGAGAUCUGGAGGAAUACCGAUGGCGAAGGCAGCCAUCUGGCCUAAUACUGACGCUGAGGUACGAAAGCAUGGGGAGCAAACAGGAUUAGAUACCCCUGUAGUCCCUGUCUCUUAUAC